rnacentral:rRNA from 1 species
UACGGGGGGAGCAAGCGUUGUUCGGAUUUACUGGGCGUAAAGGGCGCGUAGGCGGCGUGACAAGUCACUUGUGAAAUCUCCGGGCUUAACUCGGACGGUCAAGUGAUACUGUCGUGCUAGAGUACAGAAGGGCAACUGGAAUUCUCGGUGUAGCGGUGAAAUGCGUAGAUAUCGAGAGGAACACCUGCGGCGAAGGCGGGUUGCUGGGCUGAUACUGACGCUGAGGCGCGAAAGCUAGGGAGCGAACGGG